GGCCGCCUGGCGUAAUGGCAACGCGUCUGACUACGAUUCGGUAAUCAGGAGAUUGCAGGUUCGACCCCUGCGGUGGUCA
rfam:Schizophyllum commune H4-8 unplaced genomic scaffold SCHCOscaffold_17, whole genome shotgun sequence.